UUGAUGAUGCUGAUCUUGCAGGGGAUGUUCUUGAAAAUUUGAGGAAUUUUUUCAGAACCAUGUACAAAAAGGUCACUGAAGCUGAUAUUGAAGAGUUUGAAGCAAAUUACAGGGGAUCUGAUUCGGAGAAAAAGGAUUUGAUUGACCUCUAUAGAAAGUGCAAGGGUAAUAUGAACAGGCUCUUCUGUUCCAUGCUCUGUUCUGAUCCUAAACUUGAUUCACACCGGUUCAAGGAUAUUCUGGAUGAGGCAAUAUCUGCAGGGGAAGUGAAGGCAAGCAAAGCGUACCAGAAAUGGGCUAAGCAUGUAUCUGAAGCAAAACCACCUACCAGUCCCUUGAAAAGGAAGAAGUCAAAUAAACAAUCAGAAGUAGAUCUGCUAGCUAUUAUAUCUCAGCGGCGAAGUGAGAGAAAAGACCAAUUUGAUUCCAUGUUCUCAUCUCUGGUGUCCAAAUAUGGCGGUAAUGCAGGUCCUGAACCUACGGGAGAAGAAAUUGAAGCUGCACAGAAAAAAAUUGAAAACCCUUGAAAGCCAUAAGGCCUCCAAAAAGUUAAAGCGAAAGUAACUUGAGAUUGUGAGGGAACAAGGCCCGA
rnacentral:misc_RNA from 1 species